GCGAUCAUACCAGCACUAAUGCACCGGAUCCUAUCAGAACUCCGCAGUUAAUCGUGCUUGGGCGAGACUAGUACUAUGAUGGGUGACCUCCUGGGAAGUCCUCAUGUUGCACCCC
rnacentral:rRNA from 1 species